rnacentral:rRNA from 1 species
GAUGAACGCUGGCGGCGUGCCUAAUACAUGCAAGUCGAGCGAAGCGGGGACGGGGGAGCAACACGUGGAUAACCUCCUAUAAGACUGGGAUAACUUCAGGAAACCGGAGCUAAACCGGAUACGUAUAGAUGGAUCAGCGUGCCAUUAGCUAUUUGGUAAGGUAACGGCUUCCCAAGGCAACGAUGCAUAGCCGACCUGAGAGGGUGACCGGCCACACUGGAACGGGGACACGGUCCAGACUCCUACGGGGGGCAGCAGUGGGGAAUCUUCCGCAAUGGGCGAAAGCCUGACGGAGCAACGCCGCGUGGGUUAGGAAGGUCUUCGGUUCGUAAAACACUGUUAUUAGGGAGGCGGUACCUAAUCAGAAAGCCACGGCUAACUACGUGCCAGCAGCCGCGGUAAUUC